AUGGCUCAGGAUGAACGCUAGCGGCAGGCUUAACACAUGCAAGUCGAGGGGCAUCGGGAGUAGCAAUACUUGCCGGCGACCGGCGCAAGGGUGCGUAACGCGUGAGCAACAUGCCCGUAUCAGGGGGAUAAUCCAUGGAAACGUGGUCUAAUACCCCAUAGUAAUUAUGUAAGGCAUCUUAUAUAAUUUAAAGCUUUGGUGGAUACGGAUUGGCUCGCGUGACAUUAGCUGGAUGGUAAGGUAACGGCUUACCAUGGCUACGAUGUCUAGGGGUUCUGAGAGGAAGGUCCCCCACACUGGAACUGAGACACGGUCCAGACUCCUACGGGAGGCAGCAGUGAGGAAUAUUGGACAAUGGAUGGAAAUCUGAUCCAGCCAUGCCGCGUGCCAGGAAGACGGCCCUAUGGGUUGUAAACUGCUUUUGUAUGGGAGCAAUAAGGGCUACGUGUAGUCCGAUGAGAGUACCAUACGAAUAAGCACCGGCUAACUCCGUGCCAGCCGCCGC
rnacentral:rRNA from 1 species